CGUCCGCUGCGUGUGUCACGUUCCUCGCUGCUACCGAUCGGGCGAAACGGAGUCUCCAUCGAUGGAGAGUCACGCGUCCCACUUACAAUACAAUCAAGAAAAAAACAAAAAUUGUGGCCAACGAAAGAAACCCUAACAUCAUCUCCCUCUCCGCUCCACACCAAACAGGCGGCGGCGGCGAUCCUCUUUCGCCCAUCCGACGCCGUCGCGGCGGCCUUGAUCGCCGGCGCGCGCGUGCAUCCGUGCGCGCCGCUCCGUCCACCUCGCCUGCCCGCGUCGCGUCGCGCGCGCCCCGGACCAGCUACCAGCCUACCACGACAUGUUCCUUCGAUCUGCCGGCGGUGGCCGCCAGAUCCCCCCCGUCCUUGCGUGCUCAUCCACCACGCCGCUCCGCCCACGAAGAACCGCACGCAAGCCCCCAACCAUGCUGCUGAAGGCCAAAGGACCUGACCCCUAACAUCUCCCUCUCCGCUCCACACCAAACAGGCGGCGGCGAUCCUCUUUCGCCCAUCCGACGCCGUCGCGGCAGCCUUGAUCUCCGUCGACCUUGCCUGCCUGCGUCGCGCGCGCCCCGGAGCAGCGCACGCAGCUAGCCAGCUACCAGCCUACAACGAAAUGCUCCUUCUGCCGGCGGUGGCCGCCAGAUCCCCGUCCUUGCGUGCUCAUCCACCUCGCCGCUCCGCCCACGAAGAACCGCACGGCUACGCUCCUGUUCCGGUGGUGUCCUGCUUGUUGUGGUGUUGCUGAUGGCACUGCCAGCUUCCGUGAAGCCGAGCUGCUGACCCUGUUUUCUUAAACUGGGAACUUUCCUACAUCACCGAGCCCCCCAUCGGAAGGUUACGCUCCUGUUCUUGUCGUGGUGCUGCUGUCCGCCGGACCUCCUAAUGGCACUGCCAGCGUCUGUGUUGCUGAGUUUUGCCCCUGUUUUCUUCUACUAGGACGACUCGUACAGCACUGCGACCCCCACUGGAAGGUCCCUCCUCUCUCAGCUACUAUUUUUUUUCUUGACUGUGCCAUGUAUGCUUUCAGUUUUGCAUACUACAAUGCUGGGAUGUAAAGAUAUUCCAUCUCCGACUCAUAUGCAAGCGUGUUCUGGCUGCAUCAUAUGUUGAUUUGAUAUGAUAUGUGGCCCAUGCUUAUAUUUUCAUAUGCUGCUGGACCCAACAGUUGAAGGACCCCUCUUUGGUUCUUUUUCUUGUUUAACUGGAGCACAUUCUGGUGUUGUGGUUGUGCCCAAAGGUGGUGCUGCUAUUCCCCGGAGCUCCUGAUGGCGCUGCUAGCGUUCGUGAAGCCGAGCUGCCCCUGUUUUCUUACAUCACCACGUCACUCAUCGGAAGCAAGCCCCCAAGCAUGUUGCUGAAGGCCAAAGGAGUUGACCUUGAGGCUUCCGCUAGCAUCGUGGUGAGGGCUGAGGAGAUCGAUGAAUGCGAAGAUGAAGUGGCUGUUGUCACCAACAUGAUGCUAGGGUCGUGACCGCGGGGACAUGCAAAAUGGAGGAGAAGCAGAUAGAUAGAUGACCUGGGCAGGCGAUAAGCUGACGGUGAUGGAAGUCGGGCUUGUGCAAUGUGUGAGCUGCCAAAGGUUUCAGAUUCGAUUGAAUCUUGUAGUGCAGCAAGCAUGUGUUGUAUGUAACCUAAGAGUCGAUUUUGGAAACUUUGGUCGAUGUUCAUUGUGUAGUGUCGUGGGAUAUCUGUUUGGUUUUAGGUGUCUGUUAUUAUUUUGAAUGUCACGUUAAGGUGUGCUGUUUGCACUUUGGACGUCGUUUUUGAGAUUUAUAUAUUGUUUGAUUGACGUGUGA